rnacentral:rRNA from 1 species
CCUACGGGAGGCAGCAGUGGGGAAUAUUGCACAAUGGGGGAAACCCUGAUGCAGCGACGCCGCGUGAGUGAAGACGUAUUUCGGUACGUAAAGCUCUAUCAGCAGGGAAGAAAAUGACGGUACCUGACUAAGAAGCCCCGGCUAACUACGUGCCAGCAGCCGCGGUAAUACGUAGGGGGCAAGCGUUAUCCGGAUUUACUGGGUGUAAAGGGAGCGUAGACGGCUGCGCAAGUCUGGAGUGAAAUCCCAUGGCUUAACCAUGGAACUGCUUUGGAAACUGUGCAGCUAGAGUGCAGGAGAGGUAAGCGGAAUUCGUGGUGUAGCGGUGAAAUGCGUAGAUAUUAGGAGGAACACCAGUGGCGAAGGCGGCUUACUGGACUGUAACUGACGUUGAGGCUCGAAAGCGUGGGGAGCAAACAGGAUUAGAUACCCCAGUAGUC